UACGUAGGGACCAAGCGUUGUUCGGAUUUACUGGGCGUAAAGGGCGCGUAGGCGGCUUAACAAGUCACUUGUGAAAUCUCCGGGCUUAACUCGGAACGGCCAAGUGAAACUGUCAAGCUAGAGUGCAGAAGGGGCAAUCGGAAUUCUUGGUGUAGCGGUGAAAUGCGUAGAUAUCAGGAGGAACACCGAUGGCGAAGGCAGGUCUCUGGGCAUUAACUGACGCUGAGGAGCGAAAGCAUGGGGAGCGAACAGG
rnacentral:rRNA from 1 species